UACAGAGGUGGCAAGCGUUGUUCGGAAUUACUGGGCGUAAAGGGCGCGUAGGCGGCCAACUAAGUCGGAUGUGAAAUCCCCAGGCUUAACUUGGGAACUGCAUCCGAUACUGGAUGGCUUGAAUCCGGGAGAGGGAUGCGGAAUUCCAGGUGUAGCGGUGAAAUGGCGUAGAUAUCUGGAGGAACACCGGUGGCGAAGGCGGCAUCCUGGACCGGCAUUGACGCCGUGAUGAGCG
rnacentral:rRNA from 1 species